UGUAGUUAACCUACCCUAGACUCGGAAAUAAUCUCGCGAAAGUGAGGCUAAUGGCCGAUAAAUAUUCUGGUCUGGAAUGAUAGAAUGUUCAAAGCUCAGGCGGUCUAGGAUGAGACUAUAUCUUAUCAGCUUGUUGGGGAUGUAAUGGGUCCCCAUGGCGAUAACGGGUACGGGCCAUGAGAGUGGGAACCCGGAGAUGGAUUCUGAGACAUGAAUCCAGGUCCUACGGGACGCAACAGUCGCGAAGCCUUUACAAUGUGUUAACGCACGAUAAGGGAAUCCGGAGUGUUCAUGCUUUGCAUGAACUUUUGUUGAGUUCAAACAGCUCAGCGAAUAAGGGGUGGGCAAGACAGGUGCCAGCCGCCGCGGUAAUACCUGCGCCCCGAGUGGUACCCACAAUUAGUUGGUCUAAAGCGUUCGUAGCCGGUUUAAUAAGUCCUUAGUGAAAUUCACUCGUAGACGGGUGAGCGUGCUGGGGAUACUAUUAGACUUGGGACUGAGAGAGGAUAGAGGUACUCCCGGGGGAGGGGUAAAAUCCUAUAAUCCUGGGGGGACCACCUGUGGCGAAGGCGUCUAUCUAGAGCAGGUCCGACGGUGAGGGACGAAACCUAGGGUAGCGACCGGGAUUAGAUACCCCGUUAGUCCUAGGCGUAAACGAUGCCCGUUUGGUGUUACAAACCUUACGAGGGUUUGUAGUGCCGGAGCGAAGGUGUUAAACGGGCCACCUGGGGAGUAGAAAAUCAAGUGUAAAAGCUUAUUUUCUCCCAAACGACCGCAAGGUUGAAACUUAAAGGAAUUGGCGGGGGAACACACAAGGGGUGGAGGCUACGGUUC
rnacentral:rRNA from 1 species